AUGACGGACAACCUAAGGCCUACUCGUCUGGAGGCAACUGAUUUGGCAAACGCGGUGCUGGACGGUAGUGAUGCCAUUCUCCUUGGUGUUGAGACUCUCCGUGGGUUGUAUACAAUUGAGACUAUUUCAAUAGUAUGCAGAAUUGGUGCUGAGGCUGAGAAGGUCUUCAACCAGGAUUUGUACUUCAAGCGAACCAUGAAAUACGUGGGAGAACCCAUGACCCACUUGGAGUCUAUUGCUUCCUCUGCAGUGCGGGCUGCUAUCAAAGUUAAGGCUUCGGUCAUCAUUUGCUUCACUUCAUCGACAGGAGAAAAAGAAUGUCCACCAUGCCGUUCCUCGUCUAAAAAGAAAUCAAUUGAAGUGGAGCUUCACAAGCGCAUUUGA
rnacentral:rRNA from 1 species